rnacentral:rRNA from 1 species
GACGAACGCUGGCGGCGUGCUUAACACAUGCAAGUCGAACGGAAAGGCCCUGCUUUUGUGGGGUGCUCGAGUGGCGAACGGGUGAGUAACACGUGAGUAACCUGCCCUUGACUUUGGGAUAACUUCAGGAAACUGGGGCUAAUACCGGAUAGGAGCUCCUGCUGCAUGGUGGGGGUUGGAAAGUUUCGGCGGUUGGGGAUGGACUCGCGGCUUAUCAGCUUGUUGGUGGGGUAGUGGCUUACCAAGGCUUUGACGGGUAGCCGGCCUGAGAGGGUGACCGGCCACAUUGGGACUGAGAUACGGCCCAGACUCCUACGGGAGGCAGCAGUGGGGAAUAUUGCACAAUGGGCGGAAGCAUGAUGCAGCAACUCCGCGUGCGGGAUGACGGCCUUCGGGUUGUAAACCGCUUUCGCCUGUGACGAAGCGUGAGUGACGGUAAUGGGUAAAGAAGCACCGGCUAACUACGUG